CAGUGUCGGACGCGUUCUGGUGCUCCCCUAGGGGAGUGAAAAGGGAAGCCGGUGCAAACCCGGCGCUGCCCCCGCAACUGUGAGCGGCGAGUCCCUGCCCGACAGCCACCGGCCGCAAGGCCGGGAAGGCGGGCGGAUGGGCCGAGACCCGCAAGCCAGGAGACCUGCCAGAGCGUCGAACCGACC
rnacentral:ncRNA from 2 species